GUAGGUGAACCUGCGGAAGGAUCACUACAGAGUUAGGGUGCUUCGCGCCCGACCUCCCACCCUUUGUUGUCGUACAAAAACGUUGCUUUGGCGGGACCGCGCCCCCCUCCUGCAGGGGCGGUUCGCCGCUGGGUUCGCCCGGCGAGUGUCCCGCCAAGGGUCCAAACCACAACUCUUGACAUCAACCUUGAAGUCUGAGCACAAAUUUUGAAAAUAAAUCAAAACUUUCAACAACGGAUCUCUUGGUUCUG
rnacentral:misc_RNA from 1 species